GCUGGGAUAACUCAGUCGGCAGAGCAUGAGACUCUUCAUCUUAGGGAGGUGGGUUCGAGUUCCACAUAGCA